GACGUAGGGCGCAAGCGUUGUCCGGAUUUACUGGGCGUAAAGAGCGCGCAGGCGGUCGUUCAAGUCGCGUGUGAAAGCCCCCGGCUCAACUGGGGAGGGUCACGCGAUACUGAUCGACUCGAAGGCAGGAGAGGGUAGUGGAAUUCCCGGUGUAGUGGUGAAAUGCGUAGAUAUCAAGCGGAACACCAGUGGCGAAGGCGAGUCCCUGGACAACUCCUGACACUGAGGCACGAAAGCUAGGGGAGCAAACAGG
rnacentral:rRNA from 1 species